rnacentral:rRNA from 1 species
CACGUAGGGGGCAAGCGUUGUCCGGAUUUAUUGGGCGUAAAGAGCGUGUAGGCGGCCAUACAGGUCAGCUGUGAAAACUCGAGGCUCAACCUCGAGACGUCGGCUGAAACCGUUUGGCUAGAGUCCGGAAGAGGAGAGUGGAAUUCCCGGUGUAGCGGUGAAAUGCGCAGAUAUCGGGAAGAACACCCGUGGCGAAGGCGGCUCUCUGGGACGGUACUGACGCUGAGACGCGAAAGCGUGGGGAGCGAACAGG